GCGCCUGUAGCUCAGGGGAUAGAGCAACGGAUUCCUAAUCCGUGUGCCGCAGGUUCGAUUCCUGCCAGGCGCA
rfam:Firmicutes bacterium ML8_F2 scaffold_0, whole genome shotgun sequence.